rnacentral:lncRNA from 1 species
AAAGAUCAGACAAAGCUGCAGUCACAGGGCAAUUCAGAAAAUAUUAUCACUCCUUCAACUACGCUCUGAUACCAAUUUUUUGCGGAAAGGAUCGAUUCGAGAACUCCGAUAUGACUACAAGUAAAUUGACCGAGACGAAAAAUAAAGUGAACACAAGGAUUUACGUGGUUCGGCUUUAAUGCCUACGUCCACGGGCAGAGGCGAAAAGAAAUUUCACUAUAACAAGAUGAAGAUUACAAGUGUUUUACACUCAAGACACAACCCGAGAACCUCACAACUCUCAACCCCUAUAGAAAACCCGAAAGCUAAAAUCCUAGCUUUCAAAGAACAAGCUUUGCUCUCUCUUUGCUUGGGAUGAUCAAUAUGGCUAAUGAACCUCUCUAUUUAUAAGAGAGUUCAAGGACAUAAUUGUCCAAAACUUUGGCAAAGAUUUGUGGUUGAAAAUGGACACCAA